GGGGACUACACCUGACCCCUCCCCAAUCUUCAGGAUUGCCUGCGCCCGUCCACCCGUCAAGAAGGAUGCGACACACAAGACCCGUUGGAGAGCAGUGCGCAGAGCAGGCAUCAGAGCACUCAGGGGCAAAAUCCAGGAGGUACAUUCAGCCGGCAAACCUCUGCUGAGCUUGCACUCUGUGCCCAAAGACCAAGGAAAACAAGACCCUGCCCGAAUCCCCAGGUUGGCAUCUGGCUAGAAUUAGACACAUGGCACAAGCCCUGCCUUUCUCCUUUCCUCUGAGUGCUGACCACUCCAUCUCCAGCUCCCAUGGGCUGGAGGUCACCAUAUGAAACGUGCGCCACUGGAGAUGCAGGAACUGUUGAAAUGGCCUGCAUAGGCAUGGAUUUAAAGACUGUCCCUACCACCUCCCUUACACCUUCCCGCCCCCGGGGGCAGAGGGGGGGGGACGGAACAAACCUUAGGCUUAAUCCCAUUUCCUGUGAAGUUUU